GGUUGAAAUUUUCAAUUAUUUCUACUGUUAAAAACCGGCGCAGCUAAUUGAAUAACCAAAUAAUUAUACCUGGCAUGCCACGUGUAUCUCAUAUCAAUGUAUAAGAAUAAUUUUUUAAUAGUAAAAAUAAGUGAAAAUUUUAAAA
rnacentral:pre_miRNA from 1 species